GCCGGUGUGGCUCAGUGGGUAGAGCGCCGGCCUGUGGACGGAAGGGUCCCGGGUUCCAUUCCGGGCAAAGGCA
rnacentral:tRNA from 1 species